GUGGGUGUAGCUCAAGUGGUAGAGCACAUGCCUAGCAUGCACAAAGCCCUGGGUUCAAUCCCCAACAUCGUCU
rfam:Camelus ferus unplaced genomic scaffold scaffold1708, whole genome shotgun sequence.